GAUGAACGCUGGCGGCGUGCCUAAUACAUGCAAGUCGAGCGAACAGACGAGGAGCUUGCUCCUUUGACGUUAGCGGCGGACGGGUGAGUAACACGUAGGUAACCUACCUAUAAGACUGGGAUAACUUCGGGAAACCGGAGCUAAUACCGGAUAAUAUUUCGAACCGCAUGGUUCAAUAGUGAAAGAUGGCUUUGCUAUCACUUAUAGAUGGACCUGCGCCGUAUUAGCUAGUUGGUAAGGUAACGGCUUACCAAGGCAACGAUACGUAGCCGACCUGAGAGGGUGAUCGGCCACACUGGAACUGAGACACGGUCCAGACUCCUACGGGAGGCAGCAGUAGGGAAUCUUCCGCAAUGGGCGAAAGCCUGACGGAGCAACGCCGCGUGAGUGAUGAAGGUCUUCGAAUCGUAAAACUCUGUUAUUAGGGAAGAACAAACGUGUAAGUAACUGUGCACGUCUUGACGGUACCUAAUCAGAAAGCCACGGCUAACUACGUG
rnacentral:rRNA from 1 species